UCAAGAAAGAACACACUCCAGUGGGCAUCCUUUAUCCAUCCAGACCCUCAUACAGAUGGUUGGAGUUUUGAUUCACCUAAAGUACCAUGCAAGAGCACUCAUUUUCCCUCUUGAGACCAUGGUGUGACCUGCAAGAUCGAAUGGAGACUGUAGACGAGACAAUCUUGGAGUCACCUGCUUUCCCUGGUCCAGUUGUUAGUCCAAUUACAGAUGGAGAUUAUAGAAGAGGAUGAUGUCUUUUCUCCAACAUCUUUCUAGACUGAUAAAAGAUCUAGACAGGCUUGAACAAAAGUUAACAGAGGGGCUUAUAUAGAGAAUGGUGAGCAGCUACACAUAAAAGAAGAACAUGGAGAAUCUGCCCAGAGGUGUUAACCAGCAAUGCAGCUAUACAACUAAAUUGAUGCAGGCGGAAACAAUAAUGCAGCUGCUGCAGAUGAAGAAUCCGUCCGUCUACCACUGAAGGAGACGCGGAAAAUUCCAUCCAAGAUGUUCUUUGCCAGAGGAAGCA